UUCUGUUUCCGAGGAAUGAAACAGUAUCUACAGAAUAAGACCAAAACUAGUAUCAAAAAUCCUCCCCUCUGUAACACUGUGUACUAAAAACAGACAGGACUUUGAGACCUGCCUGGGUAACACAAAAGCACAAUAAAGUGAAGCACAAUAAAACAAGGUGUGCCUAUAUAUAAUAAAAUAAAAUAAUAAAUAUGACAUGGUAACAACAAACACCAUGGUUUAAUUUUUAAAGGCAUUUUCAUCCUUAAAAACACCUGGAAAUCAAUGCAAGAUGAUAUAUGGCUGUUUCUUUUCUACCCUACAUGAAAAACUGAAGGCUCCAAAUCAACCCAAUUUGGUCUGCAGCACUUUUCUAAUUAGUUUUUAAUUAUUUACAUGUUAAGAGAAUUAUCACAAAAAUUCCAACUUUUCCUGAAAAAAAAAUGGGAAGGGCUGGCAAUCCUAGGCCCAUUAAUCUCCAAGAGACAACAAUCAGAUUAAACCAAGAAAAGGAUGCAUUCUCCUAUCACACCCUACACCGAUGUUUGUCUCCUGCUUAUGGUUACUUUUUUAAAGUAGAUCUGCUUACUCACUUUUAUUACAUAUUUGGUGCCGUAAGCAUUUGUAAACCCUGCUUUUGUAUCAUUAGGUAAAUAUAAUAUAUACUAUAAGUUAACAAAACUAUGGAAUGACCUGUUUAGUCACGAAAGACAACACAGUACACAAUUCCAUUUAUAUAAAAUGUCCAGAAUCAGCAAAUCUAGAGAAAGGAGUAGUUUAGCGGUUGCCUAGGGCUGGGGUGGUGGGGAAGAAUA
rnacentral:lncRNA from 1 species